GCAUGGCCAAAUGCUGUGUUCCUUUUAUCAGUAGUUUACACAGUCAGACACCACGCAAAAGUAGUUUUCCCUUUGCAAUGGCUGAUGGCAUGCUAGGUUUUGCCGUGGUCUAUCAUUAUUUCAAGUGCAUACAAAU